UACGAAGGGGGCUAGCGUUGUUCGGAAUUACUGGGCGUAAAGCGCGCGCAGGCGGUUCUUCAAGUCAGUGGUGAAAGCCCGGAGCUCAACUCCGGAACUGCCAUUGAAACUGUAGAACUUGAGGAUGAGAGAGGAUAGUGGAAUUCCCAGUGUAGUGGUGAAAUACGUAGAGAUUGGGAAGAACACCAGUGGCGAAGGCGGCUAUCUGGACGGUUUCUGACGCUAAGACGCGAAAGCGUGGGGAGCAAACAGG
rnacentral:rRNA from 1 species